CGGGAAGUAGCGUAGCUUGGUAGGGCGCCUGGUUUGGGACCAGGAGGUCGCAGGUUCAAAUCCUGUCUUCCCGACCA
rnacentral:tRNA from 1 species